UAGGGAAUCUUCCACAAUGGACGCAAGUCUGAUGGAGCAACGCCGCGUGAGUGAAGAAGGUUUUCGGAUCGUAAAGCUCUGUUGUUGGUGAAGAAGGAUAGAGGCAGUAACUGGUCUUUAUUUGACGGUAAUCAACCAGAAAGUCACGGCUAACUACGUGCCAGCAGCCGCGGUAAUACGUAGGUGGCAAGCGUUGUCCGGAUUUAUUGGGCGUAAAGCGAGCGCAGGCGGAAUGAUAAGUCUGAUGUGAAAGCCCACGGCUCAACCGUGGAACUGCAUCGGAAACUGUCAUUCUUGAGUUGAGAAGAGGAGAGUGGAAUUCCAUGUGUAGCGGUGGAAUGCGUAGAUAUAUGGAAGAACACCAGUGGCGAAGGCGGCUCUCUGGUCUGCAACUGACGCUGAGGCUCGAAAGCAUGGGUAGCGAACAGG
rnacentral:rRNA from 1 species